GGAUCAGACCCCAUCAUACUACACAGACCAAAUCCAGUCAUAUCUACACACACUACAGCAGGACACCAACCCAUCUUUCCUCUAUCUCUCCCGACCCUGCUGUCACCAUGGACAUGACACCUCUGCUACUCCUACUCUGUGCCGGUGGCUUCUGCACAGACAGAAGCCUCAGACAGUUCACCCUCAGUGAAACGAAGGUCAAUUCGACAGAAGCACAGACAAACUGCCAGAAGAACUAUUCUGAUCUAGUCACUGUGCACAACCAGGAGGAUUAUGAGCAGCUGAUACAGUUAAUGACAUCUGACAAAAUCGAUCGUGCCUGGAUAGGUCUGUAUCGCACACAGCCCAGUCUGGUGUGGUCUAAUGGAGACCCUGUUAAUGACACUGCAUGGUCACCUCCUAAUUACACAAAUCCAAACUGUGUAGCAAUCAACCCUAAUGUAACAUGGGAGAUAUGUUUUCAAGAGAAAAAUGUAAUGUGCUAU